UUAGUAUCCUGAAUACUGGGACUAAGAUUCUGACCUGAAACUGAGGACUUUUUAUAACACUCUAACUGAACACUUACGAAGAUUACAAAUCAUCUGGGUUGUUAUUGGGAAACAUUCAGGAUGACGAGAAAAGAACUGAGAAUCGUGUUCAUACUGAGUAUCAUUCUGAGAUCUGUAACUGGACAAAGCACAAAUGACACAACACCAGCAACUACAAAUGCUACAGCUACUACACAAGCAAUUGCUACCUCUGGUAAUGUAACAGUUUCGACAGCAACUACAACAGCAGCACCUACAAACGCUACAGCUACUACACAAGCAAAUGCUACUACUGGUAAUGUAACA